AAGUUCGGAAGUGCGUCACGGGAUAACAACAUGUCCGCGUUCAUUUGAAACAGUGUAGUGUGCUCUGCUCGAUCGGUUUUCACUGCAUACUUUGAUGUGUUUGUAUGUUGGGCUCAACAAGCAGGCGAUUGCAGUGGGAGAGGCAUCUGUCAAAGGGAAGGACCGCACUCCAGGACAGGAAGAUCGACUAUUUGUUAUUAGCAGAAAUAAUGCUGAUAUUGGGAACUCAUGUCGCACAUCUAUGAAGAGAGAGCCACAAUGAUAGCCGCAGGCGAAUUGCAGUCGUUUGUCCCAUUUGGUCGUGAGCACUGCAAAAAUCACCCGAAUGCCGUGAAUCUCCAGCUGCGGCAGCUCCAGCCGGCCUCUGAGCUCUGGUCCUCUGACGGGGCGGCUGGGCUCGUGGGAUCCCUUCAGGAGGUCACUCUACAGGAGCGAGAGAAGGAGCGCUGGCGGCUGAGGAAGGGAACUGCUCCUGAUGAGGUUGAAUAUGAGGAGGAGCUGUAUGUGGCUGGAAACAUGGUCAUAUGGAGUCGUGGCAGUAAGAAUCAAGCCUCAUAUGUGUACAAGGCCUUCACGGUGGACAGCCCAGUUCAGCAGGCUCUAUGGUGUCAUUUCACCGUUCCUCAGUCUAAAAAAGAUGUAAAGGAUGUUGUGGAGCAGACGGUGUGUAUUGUCCAGAGUACCUGUGUGAACGUUCACAGCAUGAGUGGCAAAGACUUCAUAUCUCCACUCCCCUUCCAGGUCUCCGCUCUCUGGUCAACAAAGUUUGGUCUGCUUUUGGAGCGCAAAAAUAUUACAGUUGACGUCCCCAUGAGCCCCAUCAGGGAACCUCUCCCGACCCUGUUCAGCAUGCUGCAUCCCUUAGAUGAAAUCGCUCCUGUUGUUUGUAAGUCCAGCGGUCUGUUUGAGGCCCGACUCCAGUAUUUUUCAGACAGCGCUCAGAGAGUGGUGUUCACUUGCCUCAAGCCCUCCAUUAUCAUGACGUACGACACGCAGCAGUGCACACACACCGUCUGGACCCUACGGAAAGUCACACCUGAGGAGCAGACCACAGUGUUGAAGUGUCCAGACCAGCCCGGGCCGGUUCAAACUCCCAAUACAAACCCCAGCUUCCUCAGCACCCACCUGAGAAACGUGAACCGGCUGGACUCGCCCGCCUCGCCCCUGCACUGCCCCGCUCUGCACAACCAGAGCCGAAUUCCUGCCUCUCCGGCCCUGCACUCUCGAGUUCACUCGCCUAGCAUUUCAAACAUGGCUGCUCUCAGUCGGGCUCACUCCCCUGGCAUCGCCGUGCCCUCUUUCUCUGGAACUCAGCGUUUCAACAUGUCCUGCCACACCCCGUCCCCGCGUGGCCACAGCAUCCUGGCCUCUCCCAACAGCACCCUGAACGACACGGCCCUGCUGCCUGAGAUGGAGCCCAUUCUGCCAGACCUCUGCAUCGAGCAACUGUGGACAGAAACCAGCGCCAUCUCCAGGGAGAAAGGCUGCCAGGCCUCUAAAGUCUUCAUCACCUCUGAUCUGUGUGAGAACAGGUACCUGUGCUUCUUGGUCGAGUCCCACCAGCAGCUCAGGUGUGUAAAAUUUCUUGAGAGCAAUGAAACUUCUCAACUGAUAUUUGCAUCAGUAACUGUUAUCACCGCAAAAGAUGCCGCCCCUCUUGAGGACAUUCAUGCUAUGCUGGUGCUUGAGGCCAAUGGAAGUCUGGUGUUGUACACAGGAGUCACACGGGUCAGCAAAGUGUUUGUCCCUGGCCUUCUGUCUCCUAGCUUCAGUGUGCAGAACCACCAGCUGCAGUUAAUCACUCCUCUGGAGAACAUCAGCACCCCCGCCAGGGCCACAGUUCAGCAUAUGAGCCGACUGGAGGAGGUUGGCAUGCCGUCCCCUGUGUUGGAGGUCCGCAGCACGACGCAGCACCACGAAUCAUCAUGGCUGGAAGACUCUCCUUUCCAGCAGGCUGCACCUCAUAUCCACACCCUCCGAGACCCCGUCAGCAACAGAGUCACGCUGGAAUUGAGCUCCGGUUCCAUGUUAAGAAUCACCAUUCCUGAGGUGGCCACUUCAGAGCUGGUCAAACGUUGCCUGCAGGCCGUCAGGUUUAUUUUACCCAAGGACACUGCCAUGAAAGUGCUGGUCAAGUGGUACAACAGUUACAACGCCCCUGGAGGUCCCAGCAUGCACCUGGAGUGGAACCUGUUUGUUACAUGUCUAAUGACAAUGAUGGGUUACAACACAGAACGACUGACGUGGACACGCAACCUUCAUUUUGAAGUGCCUCUCUCUCCAGUAAUAGCCCCUAAGAAGGCCCGUCCCGCUGACACGGGUUCAGAUGAGGAUUGGGCAUACCUCCGUUGCUCCGACUACCAUUGGCAAAUUUCCAUGCUACCUGCGGUGGCCGUUCAAGGCCUGGAGUUGGUGUCGCCCCCUGGUGGAGUGAAUAACCAAGAGUCUGCUGUGGGUUUGGAGUCAUCCGCCCUCCUCUUCCCACAUAUCCCGGUGCUCUUCUACGUUCUGCACCUGCUCUAUGAAGACCUGAAGCUGGAUGAGCUACAGCGGAGCGGGGCGAGAGCUCUGGUUGGUCUGCUGCAACAGCUGGCCAAGGACCUACAGCAGGAGGAUUUCAUUGAUCUGUACUGGCGCGAUUACCCCUCAUUCAUCAAAACGUUCAAGGAGGCCUGCGUGAUUGAUCAAGCUCAGAUGGAGCUGAUGACUUGGCCGGUGUUCCUGAACGGAGAGGCCCCGUGUGUGUUCAGCUGGCUCAGUCGCUGUCUGAGAGGGCAAGAUGUGGCGCCUUUUCCUUAUCUGCCCAGCAUCUGCGAGAGAACCAAACUACUGGUGCUGAGUUAUGCCCUGUAUGUGGUUGGAGACGAGGACGCCAUCUCGACAAACGUGUUGAAGUACCUCUCCAGGCUGUCAGCAGGGCAAAAGAAGAAUAUUAGUGAUCCUUUUCUGAGAAGGCAGAGCAGCGUGAAGCCAACACCUUCAUCUGGAUGCCUGGCUGAGAAGCUGGUGGUGUGGUUGACCUCUGCAGGAUUUACAUUGAAGGAUCUGGAGUCGGUUCCUUUUGGUGUGGCUCUGCCAAUCAGAGACGCCAUCUACCAGUGCAGAGAACACCCCUGCUCUGAUUGGUCUGAGGAGGUCUGCGCUCUGAUUGGACGACAGGACCUGACCAAGCAAGCUCACAAAGUCACCCUGGCCAAUCGUAAAUCUACUGUUGGUCUGAACGUAAUGCUCGAGCCGCCAGUGACCAGUGAUGCCGAUGAGGAGGAGGACGGUAUGACAGACCUGCGCCCGGAGGUGACGGGGCUGAUCUGGAGUCAGGAUCUCAGGGUGCAGGAGGUCCGUCGUCUGCUCCAGAGCUCCAGACCCGUCCGGGUCAAUGUGCCCCACCUGCCUGAAGUCAGUGACCACGAGUACAUUGAGGAGAAAGAGAACAAACUGCUACAGUUGUGCCAGCGCACCAUGUCUCUACCGGUGGGCCGAGGACUCUUCACACUCUUCUCAUACCACCCUGUGCCAACCGAACCACUCCCUGUGCCCAAACUCAACCUGACUGGCCGUGCUCCUCCCAGGAACACCAUGGUGGACCUGAACAGCGGUAACAUCGAUGUGCCGCCCAACAUGACCAGCUGGCCCAGUUUCCAUAAUGGAGUGGCGGCUGGUCUUAAGAUCGCCCCUGCUUCCCAGGUGGAAUCUGCCUGGAUUGCCUACAACAAACCCAAAAGUGCUGACCUGGCUAACGAGUACGCUGGCUUCCUCAUGGCCCUGGGCCUCAACGGCCACCUCACCAAACUAGCAACACUUAACAUCCAUGACUACCUCACCAAGGGUCACGAAAUGACAAGUAUCGGGCUGUUGUUGGGUGUUUCUGCUGCUAAACUGGGCACCAUGGACAUGUCCAUCACUCGUCUGCUAAGCAUCCACAUCCCCGCACUGCUGCCGCCCACCUCCACCGAGCUCGACGUGCCUCACAGUGUGCAAGUGGCCGCUGUGGUCGGCAUCGGUCUGGUUUAUCAGGGCACCGGUCACCGGCACAAUGCAGAGGUGUUGCUGGCAGAGAUCGGACGUCCACCUGGUCCUGAGAUGGAGUACUGUACGGAUAGGGAGUCGUACUCUUUAGCAGCAGGACUGGCGCUUGGUAUGGUCUGCCUUGGGCACGGCAGUAACCUGAUCGGGAUGACCGACCUGAACGUGCCCGAGCAGCUCUAUCAGUAUAUGGUAGGAGGUCAUCGGCGCACUCAUGCUGGCAUCAACAGAGAGAAACACAAGUCUCCCAGCUAUCAGAUCAAGGAGGGUGACACUAUCAAUGUGGAUGUGACCUGUCCUGGUGCGACUCUUGCUCUAGCCAUGAUUUACCUGAAAACAAAUAAUAGGUCUAUAGCUGAUUGGCUGAAAGCCCCAGACACCAUGUUCCUGCUGGACUUCAUCAAGCCUGAGUUUUUGCUGCUGAGGACGCUGGCCAGAUGUCUUAUCAUGUGGGACGAGAUCGUUCCCAAUGCUGAUUGGGUGACCAGUAAUGUGCCUCAGAUCAUCAAGGAAAACAUUGGAAACCAGGAGCAGACGUCCGUCUCUGAGGAUCUUAACAUGGAGACCUUAGUUCAAGCUCAUGACUAUAUAAUUGCUGGAGGCUGCCUGGCCGUGGGAUUCCGGUUUGCUGGGUCUGCAAAUUCAGAUGCUUUUGACUGCUUAUACAAAUUUGCCCGAAAUUUCAUGCAGUGUCUGACGACCUCUACGGCUACAGUGACAGGGCAGUAUAACCUGCAGACGUGCUUGAGCAUGGUCCUCUUGGCGGUUUCUAUGGUCAUGGCCGGUUCAGGGAACUUGAAAGUGCUGCAGCUGUGCCGCUUCCUCCACAAACGCACCUUUGGCGAGAUGAACUAUGGCUUCCACAUGGCCCAUCACAUGGCCCUGGGCCUGCUCUUCUUGGGUGGAGGGAGGUACACCCUCAGCACCUCCAACUCGGCCAUUGCUGCCCUCCUUUGUGCACUUUAUCCUCAUUUUCCUGCUCACAGCACAGACAACAGGUAUCACCUCCAGGCGUUACGCCACCUGGCUGUCCUCGCAGCAGAGCCUCGUCUGCUGGUGCCUGUAGACGUGGACACUCUCAAACCCUGCUACGCUCUGCUAGAUGUCACCUACAAGGAGACACAGUGGUACGAGGAGACAACCGUGGAGUUGAUGGCUCCCACCAUGCUGCCUGAGCUUCACCUUCUAAAACGGAUUAAGGUAAAAGGUCCAAGAUAUUGGGAGCUAAACAUCGACAUCAGUAAAGGAACCCAUCAUCUGCAAUCCAUCUUAUCCAGAGACGGCAUUCUCUACGUGAAGCUGCGUGCCGGACAGCUCCCGUACAAGGACGACCCUCAAGGUUGGAAGAGUUUACUGGCCCCAAACCUCAACAAUAGAAGCGCUGAAGUUCGCACUUUUAAGCCCGAGGCCAUCUCAACCUUCACCUCAGACGCUGCUUUGGUCUCCUUCGCCGAGUACUUCUGCAGAGCCUCGGAAAACAUGAAGCAUAAGCAGGAGACAGUGGCCUUAUUGUCAGCAAUUCUGUAUGAAUGUGUGACACAGGAAAACCCAGAGAUGCUCCCAACACACAUCUCUAUUGACCAGGCCGUGCGGACUCUGGAGCAGGGCGAUCUGUGUGAGACGUUCAGUCUGUGGCAGAUGAAGCUGGUGUUAGAGCUGUGUGAGAGCAGAGUCCUUCAGCAGCGGCUCAGAGACACACACCGUCAGACCCGUGGCCUUCUGCUCAACUCUGAGUUCCUGCCCGUCAUGAAGAGCUCAGCGGAUCGAGCCCUGGACCACUGGCUCUGUGAUAACAGUCGUGUUCUGCACGCGUACUUGAGAAGACAGCCAAUGAACAACGAUACUGAUGUCAACAUGCUGGCCUGCUUCCUGGUCUACCAUUCCAUCCCUAGCCUCAAGAAUAUGUUGGCGUCUGACCUGGAAGGAUGUUCCUGUUUCCCAGAGUUCCUGCUCAAGAGCAGUCAGUUGGGUGUUCCUGUACGUGCUCUGCUGCGUUUGAGUCCUCUGUUUCUUCAGAAUCGUGAUGGUGGAGUUUAACUGCACUCCUUCAGACCAAUUCCUGGAGGUCGACCAACGUUCUCCCUAUCCAGGUCAGGCCGAGGAGAUGCUGAAAGUGACUGUGCUCCUGCAGAUUUGGCGUCAGACGUGGACAGAAGCUCUUGAGGUCAGCCGUUCACUGAGCACAAACUGUUUAUGCUGCCUUCAGGUCCUGCUGGGACGGUCCUGCUUAAAGAGCUCGGAAGGCCUAAUUAUGAUGUGAUGUGCGCAAAGUGAUUUGGAUUGGAAAAAAAGGUGUCUAUAACUUGCUCACAAAGCAUUUUUAGUCCCACUUCAACUAAAUGUGAUUUAUGCUGUA